rnacentral:rRNA from 1 species
UACAGAGGGUGCGAGCGUUGUCCGGAAUUAUUGGGCGUAAAGAGCUUGUAGGUGGUUUGUCGCGUCUGCUGUGAAAAUCCGAGGCUCAACCUCGGACUUGCAGUGGGUACGGGCAGACUAGAGUGUGGUAGGGGAGACUGGAAUUCCUGGUGUAGCGGUGAAAUGCGCAGAUAUCAGGAGGAACACCGAUGGCGAAGGCAGGUCUCUGGGCAUUAACUGACGCUGAGGAGCGAAAGCAUGGGGAGCGAACAGG